UACAGAGGUCUCAAGCGUUUGUUCGGAUUCAUUGGGCGUAAAGGGCGCGUAGGCGGUGUGUCAAGUCAGGCGUGAAAGCCCCGGGCUCAACCUGGGAACAGCGCUUGAGACUGGCACGCUCGAGUUCGGGAGAGGAUGGUGGAAUUCCCAGUGUAGAGGUGAAAUUCGUAGAUAUUUGGGAAGAACACCGAUGGCGAAGGCAGCCAUCUGGACCGACACUGACGCUGAGGCGCGA
rnacentral:rRNA from 1 species